UGGAUUAGUGGCGAACGGGUGAGUAACACGUGAGUAACCUGCCCUCCACUUUGGGAUAACUCCGAGAAAUCGGGGCUAAUACUGGAUAUGACCUUGGCCCGCAUGGGUUGUGGUGGAAAGUUUUUCGGUGGGGGAUGGGCUCGCGGCCUAUCAGUUUGUUGGUGAGGUAGUGGCUCACCAAGGCGAUGACGGGUAGCCGGCCUGAGAGGGCGACCGGCCACACUGGGACUGAGACACGGCCCAG
rnacentral:rRNA from 1 species